UACGUAGGGGGCUAGCGUUGUCCGGAAUCAUUGGGCGUAAAGCGCGUGUAGGCGGUCCGGUAAGUCCGCUGUGAAAGUCGGGGGCUCAACCCUCGGAUGCCGGUGGAUACUGUCGGGCUUGAGUACGGAAGAGGCGAGUGGAAUUCCUGGUGUAGCGGUGAAAUGCGUAGAUAUCAGGAGGAACACCAGUGGCGAAGGCGACUUUCUGGUCUGUAACUGACGCUGAGGCGCGAAAGCGUGGGGAGCAAACAGG
rnacentral:rRNA from 1 species